rnacentral:rRNA from 1 species
UAGAUGCGAGAGUAGAGCAUAUCAAUAAGCGGAGGAAAAGAAACUAACAAGGAUUCCCCUAGUAACGGCGAGUGAAGCGGGAAGAGCUCAAAUUUGAAAUCUUCAAGGGUUUCCCUUGACGAAUUGUAGUUUAAAGAAGUGUUUUCUGUUAGUGGAGUGGCAAAAGUUCUUUGGAAUAGGACAUCAUAGAGGGUGAGAAUCCCGUAUUUGGUCAUUCCUCCUAGCGUUGUGAUACACUUUCAACGAGUCGGAUUGUUUGGGAAUGCAGUCCAAAAUGGGUGGUAAAUUUCAUCUAAGGCUAAAUAUUGGCGAGAGACCGAUAGCGAACAAGUACCGUGAGGGAAAGAUGAAAAGAACUUUGAAAAGAGAGUUAAACAGUACGUGAAAUUGUCAAAAGGGAAGCGUUUGACACCAGUGUUGUUUUUCCGAAAAUCAAUUACGAAUGUUUUGUUUUUGAGGAGUUAUGACUUCAUCGGCUUGCUCCUUUCUUUAUGAAACUUUCUUAAUGCACUUUUCGGUUAACAAGUCAACAUCAAUUUCUUUUGUUGUAAAAGGGUAUGAGGAAGGUGGCUUUCUUUUCGGAGAAAGUGUUUAUAGCCUUGUGCCUCUGCAAUCGGAGAGAUUGAGGUCUGCAGCGUAGAUCCUUCGGGGUUAGAUACGUUUGUGCUAAGUUAUAGCUUUUCAUAGACAACUUGUUGACUAUGUUUAGUCUUGUAGCUUACUCGCUGACGCUAUUUUACCUACGCUUAGGAUGUUGACGAGACUGUCGAUCUC